GAGUCACUGUUAGGCCCGGUCUGAAAAGUUGUCGCUAAAUAAGACAAUUCAGUGAAAACGGGUUAACAUUAGUAACAUAUUGAACUAGAAUUAAUUUACCCUCGGCUGGGAAUUCUUCAAACUCAUCGUCCUCCUCUAAUAAUCCCAAAUCUACAGUCUGUUUCUUGUCAGACAUGUUAACUGCCUUUCCGUUGCGCGGGUCUAUCGUGAACAAAUGGACUUCCAGCGAGAGGGUUUCUGGGAUAGUGGAGGUUCAAGAGAAGUCUGCUUGCUCAUGGGCAGUGCUCUGCCAACAGAAUCCCACGUCACACGAUGCUCCUGAUUCUGCACGAAGGCAGAGCAGGCAAAAGAUGGCACACAGACAGCAGAGUUGGGGACAGAUAUGCAGGGACAGACUGGCAGAGACAGGGAGUCUCAGGUGGCUCUGCCCAGCGUUCCUCACUCUGUUGCACCCACCUCCCUCUCACCAUUGCCUCAGGCCCUGGCCUCUAAUGUACUCCUCUGGGACCCCAGCAGAGUCCAGAGGCCCAGAGACCAAAGAACCAGGCCUGCCUGCUGCUCCACUCUUCAUGCUCACUUGAAUUGAAUAUCUGAGAAAAACCUGUGGCCCUCUCUACCAUUCCCCCCACCCCACCCCCUUCUUUCCCUCUCCAUCUUCUUUGGUGACUGUGCUAUUUUUGGCUCUCCUCUGGACAUAUGUCAUUGAGGAGUGCGUGCAGUGGCUGGAUAAUUAAGGCUACCUCAAAGCGGGCAUAAAAAAUUGGGAGAUAUUUAUUAGGCAGUACAUUAGCUGCUUGUCGUGAGUGCGUGUCAGGCCUGUAAAACAAAGUUUGAUUGAGAAAGUCAGAAAAUGUGGUAGUGUAACUACUGUUGUUGCCGUUGGUACUCCAGCAGAGACGUGGAAAUCAUUCACUCACAAAGAUGUACUUGAUUUGGUCUGAUUCAUUUAUUGUAUAAAUAAAUUGUGACAAAAGUGUUUCUCGUUCUGCCGUCUCGUGCCUAGCGAGGUAUUUAUUUGUUGUAAUCAAG
rnacentral:lncRNA from 1 species